rnacentral:rRNA from 1 species
CUUUCUUUGCUGGCGACCGGCGCACGGGUGAGUAACACGUAUCCAACCUGCCCUUUACUCGGGAUAGCCUUUCGAAAGAAAGAUUAAUACCCGAUAGUAUAAUGAUUCCGCAUGGUUUCAUUAUUAAAGGAUUCCGGUAAAGGAUGGGGAUGCGUUCCAUUAGGUUGUUGGUGAGGUAACGGCUCACCAAGCCUUCGAUGGAUAGGGGUUCUGAGAGGAAGGUCCCCCACAUUGGAACUGAGACACGGUCCAA